GUCCAGCUACACAACGAGAUGAGGAUGGUCAUUGUCAUUUUCUUAGCUGCGAACGGGCAGAAAGCUACACAACGAGAUGAGGAUGUUCAUUGUCAUUUUCUGAGCUGAGAACGGGCAGAAAGCGACCUAACGAGAUGAGGAUGGUCAUUGUCAUUUUCUGAGCUGCGAACGGGCAGAAAG